GACGAACGCUGGCGGCGUGCUUAACACAUGCAAGUCGAACGGAAAGGCCCUGCUUUUGUGGGGUGCUCGAGUGGCGAACGGGUGAGUAACACGUGAGUAACCUGCCCUUGACUUUGGGAUAACUUCAGGAAACUGGGGCUAAUACCGGAUAGGAUCUCCUGCUGCAUGGUGGGGGUUGGAAAGUUUCGGCGGUUGGGGAUGGACUCGCGGCUUAUCAGCUUGUUGGUGGGGUAGUGGCUUACCAAGGCUUUGACGGGUAGCCGGCCUGAGAGGGUGACCGGCCACAUUGGGACUGAGAGACGGCCCAGAAUCCUACGGGAGGCAGCAGUGGGGAAUAUUGCACAAUGGGCGGAAGCCUGAUGCAGCAACGCCGCGUGCGGGAUGACGGCCUUCGGGUUGUAAACCGCUUUCGCCUGUGACGAAGCGUGAGUGACGGUAAUGGGUAAAGAAGCACCGGCUAACUACGUG
rnacentral:rRNA from 1 species